rnacentral:rRNA from 1 species
GAUGAACGCUGGCGGCGUGCCUAAUACAUGCAAGUCGAGCGAACGGACGAGAAGCUUGCUUCUCUGAUGUUAGCGGCGGACGGGUGAGUAACACGUGGAUAACCUACCUAUAAGACUGGGAUAACUUCGGGAAACCGGUGCUAAUACCGGAUAAUAUUUUGAACCGCAUGGUUCAAAAGUGAAAGACGGUCUUGCUGUCACUUAUAGAUGGAUCCGCGCUGCAUUAGCUAGUUGGUAAGGUAACGGCUUACCAAGGCAACGAUGCAUAGCCGACCUGAGAGGGUGAUCGGCCACACUGGAACUGAGACACGGUCCAGACUCCUACGGGAGGCAGCAGUAGGGAAUCUUCCGCAAUGGGCGAAAGCCUGACGGAGCAACGCCGCGUGAGUGAUGAAGGUCUUCGGAUCGUAAAACUCUGUUAUUAGGGAAGAACAUAUGUGUAAGUAACUGUGCACAUCUUGACGGUACCUAAUCAGAAAGCCACGGCUAACUACGUG